rnacentral:lncRNA from 1 species
AACAAAAACAACAACAACAAUUACAACAAUAACAACAAAAACAACAACAAUAACAAUAACAAUAACAAUAACAACAACAACAACAACAAUAAUAACAACAACAACAACAACAAUAACAACAACAACAACAAUAACAACAACAACAACAACAACAACCACAGCUACAACAACGAGGACGAUGGCUACGUUGACAGCGUCAACAAUGACG